rnacentral:rRNA from 1 species
GACGAACGCUGGCGGCGUGCUUAACACAUGCAAGUCGAACGGAAAGGCCCUGCUUUUGUGGGGUGCUCGAGUGGCGAACGGGUGAGUAACACGUGAGUAACCUGCCCUUGACUUUGGGAUAACUUCAGGAAACUGGGGCUAAUACCGGAUAGGAGCCCCUGCUGCAUGGUGGGGGUUGGAAAGUUUCGGCGGUUGGGGAUGGACUCGCGGCUUAUCAGCUUGUUGGUGGGGUAGUGGCUUACCAAGGCUUUGACGGGUAGCCGGCCUGAGAGGGUGACCGGCCACAGUGGGACUGAGAUACGGCCCAGACUCCUACGGGAGGCAGCAGUGGGGAAUAUUGCACAAUGGGCGGAAGCCUGAUGCAGCAACGCCGCGUGCGGGAUGACGGCCUUCGGGUUGUAAACCGCUUUCGCCUGUGACGAAGCGUGAGUGACGGUAAUGGGUAAAGAAGCACCGGCUAACUACGUG